CGGACGAACGCUGGCGGCACGCCUAACACAUGCAAGUCGAACGCCCUCUUCGGAGGGAGUGGCGGACGGGUGAGUAACGCGUGGGAACCUGCCCCGUGGUGGGGAAUAACCCAGGGAAACUUGGGGUAAUACCGCAUAAGCCCGACGGUUUUGGAGAUCGUCGGGGAAAGAUUUAUCGCCACGGGAUGGGCCCGCGUCGGAUUAGCUUGUUGGUGAGGUAACGGCUCACCAAGGCGACGAUCCGUAGCUGGUCUGAGAGGACGAUCAGCCACACUGGGACUGAGACACGACCCAGACUCCUACGGGAGGCAGCAGUGGGGAAUCUUGGACAAUGGGGGAAACCCUGAUCCAGCGAUGCCGCGUGAGCGAAGAAGGCCUUAGGGUUGUAAAGCUCUUUCGCCCACGACGAUGAUGACGGUAGUGGGAGAAGAAGCCCCGGCUAACUCCGUG
rnacentral:rRNA from 1 species